rnacentral:tRNA from 1 species
GCGCACGUGGUGAAACUGGUAGACACGCCAUCUUGAGGGGGUGGUGCCUUCGGGUGUGGAAGUUCGAAUCUUCUCGUGCGCACAA